GGGGGCGUUGCUCAGUUGGUAGAGCGUUCGCUUUGCAUGUGAAAAGUCCCGGGUCUAAGCCCCGGCGCCUCCA